CAGCAUGCGUCUGCAGCAACUACAAAUCAGGAUGAACACGUUAUGUUAUGGCAAUCCCAACUGCCCUUCGAUCGCCAAUUCGCUAACUGACAACUCUCCCCUCAAUGGACUGGGCUGCCCAUCCUGCUUAUCUGCUAACUCUACCUGGUGUCACACUGAUGAAACCAUACAGUGCAGAGGGGAUGAGACUAUGUGUCUUCUUCUGCAGACAACACAAGAAUCAGGAUCAAUGUCAACUUCAACAACCUUUCGAGGGUGCGCAUCAAUGUCUAUCUGUGAUCUUGGCAGUCAGUCCCAAAAUAAGACCGGAUCAUUCACUGAGGUUAAGAUUAACUGCACGAGAGCCAGCACCAGCGGUAGCAACAGAGGCAGCAUGAGUGACCAUAAAGUCGUCUUGACUUCAGCCAUUGUGUGUCUUCUGCUGAAAUUGCUCUUCUAGGA